GGGAACCCACGAGUACCCCACCUCUCCUCCGCCGGACCGCACCUCUGCAGCCCCGCGCCGCCCCUCUCCCACACUGGAGUCGCGGAAUACCAGCCGCCACCCUGCUUUCCCCCUCCCUACCAGCGGCUGGCCUACUCGCAAUCGGCCGACCCCUACUCGCACCGGGGGAAGCGCACGCCGCCAUCAACCUCCUGCACCAGCGGGCGCCCACCGGCAGCAGGCCUGGCGCGGCCGCCAGAACCAGGGGGGAGCGGGGCUGCCUUGCACCACGGGCGCCCGCCGGCCUGCGGCCCCACCUCUCCGGGCUGGAGGCGGGUCGGUGAGCGCCCGCGGGAAUGCCUACCACCGCUCCAACCUGCUGCCGCCCCAUGCGCACGCCCCGAUGCAGCGGUCCUGGCCGAAAAUCUGGGGCUGCACGACAUGGCCUACCAGAUGGACGAGGUGCAGAAUGUUGACGACCAGCACCUACUGUUGCACGAUCAGUCAGUCAUUCACAAAGGUCCCAUUUCCAUGACCGAGAACCCUCUGAACCUCCCCUGUCAGAAGGAGCUGGUGGGGCUCGUAAUGAACCCCACUGAGAUCUUCUGCGCAGUCCCUGGAAGAUUGUCUCUCCUCAGCUUUACUUCAAAAUACAAAGUGACGGCGGCUGAAGUGCAGAGGCGAUUGUCCCCGUCCGAAUGCUUAAAUGCCUCAUUACUGGGAGAUGUUCUCAGAAGAGCCAAAUCGAAAAAUGCAGGCCGGCCCUUGCAGGAGAAGUUGGACAAGACUGGGUUGAUCUUAGGCCGGGAGAGGGAAAGCCGCUUAUGUGGUGACUCUCCUGACAACCUUAGUAGAAGGGGAAGCUGUUCGUUCGGCUAGAGACUUUGCCUACGUCUGUGAAGCCGAAUUUCCUAGUAAACCAGUGGCAGAAUAUUUAACCAGGCCUCAUCUGGGAGGACGAAAUGAGAUGGCAACUAGGAAGAACAUGCUACUGGCAGCCCAGCAAGUGUAUAAAGAAUGCAUGGAGCUUCUCAGCGGAGACCAGACACCCAAUGGCACCAGCAGGUCCUCCGCCCCAGUCUUGGAGACAAACAUACAGAGCUGCCAGUCUCAUUUCAGCCUGAUUACCCACGGGUUUGGCAGCCAGGCCAUCUGCCCUGCAGAGCUGCAUCAAAGAAGCCCUGGUUGUCAUAGAUAAAUCCUACAUGAACCCCGGAGACCAGAAUCCAGCUGAUUCUAACAAAACCCUGGAGAAAAUGGAGAAGCACAGGAAAUAAAAUUGGGACGAACAAAGCUUCGGAGAGUCGGGAGGGAACAGGACUGCAAGAAUCCUUCUCCACCGCACAGAUGAGAGCCCUCUUGGCCUGGGGGAAGAGUUUGUCACCUACCUUACUAUUUAAAGGGCCUCCACCUGUUCCGGAUCCACAGCGAUCACCUCCCCCGCUCCCUGCCUGGAUUCCUUAGUUGUUUCUCUAGCGCUGAGCUAUCUCCUAGCUUUGGAACUUUAUCAGAAGGUGACAAGUACUGGCUCUUUAUUCAUUAAGCUUUUAUUUUUUUGAACCCCAUUCUUUCCUUCCCUGAAAGUGGUGCUACAAGUUUUAGAAUCUUUUAAAUACAUUGCCUGGGCUAACAGACCCA